rnacentral:rRNA from 1 species
AAUGAACGUUGGCGGCGUGGAUUAGGCAUGCAAGUCGAGCGAGAAGGAUCCUUUGCUUGCAUUGGAUCUGGAAAGCGGCGAAAGGGAGAGUAACGCGUAGGGUAUCUGCCCCCAGGCCUGGGAUAGCGGCGGGAAACUGCCGGUAAUACCGGAUAAUGUCCCUGGACCAAAGGUGUGAUUCCGCCUGGGGAUGGCCCUGCGUCCUAUUAGCUUGUUGGUGAGGUAACGGCUUACCAAGGCAAAGAUGGGUAGCGGGCGUGAGAGCGUGGCCCGUCUCACUGGGACUGAGACACUGCCCAGACACCUACGGGUGCUGCAGUCGAGAAUC